GCAUGCAGGCGGUUUGUUAAGUCAGAUGUGAAAGCCCGGGGCUCAACCUCGGAACCGCAUUUGAAACUGGCAGGCUAGAGUCUUGUAGAGGGGGGUAGAAUUUCAGGUGUAGCGGUGAAAUGCGUAGAGAUCUGAAGGAAUACCAGUGGCGAAGGCGGCCCCCUGGACAAAGACUGACGCUCAGAUGCGAAAGCGUGGUAGCAAACAGGAUUAGAUACCCUGGUAGUCCACGCCGUAAACGCUGUCUACUUGGAGGUUGAGGUUUAGACUUUGGCUUUCGGCGCUAACGCAUUAAGUAGACCGCCUGGGGAGUACGGCCGCAAGGUUAAAACUCAAAUGAAUUGACGGGGGCCCGCACAAGCGGUGGAGCAUGUGGUUUAAUUCGAUGCAACGCGAAGAACCUUACCUACUCUUGACAUCCAGCGAAGCCUUUAGAGAUAGAGGCGUGCCUUCGGGAGCGCUGAGACAGGUGCUGCAUGGCUGUCGUCAGCUCGUGUUGUGAAAUGUUGGGUUAAGUCCCGCAACGAGCGCAACCCUUAUCCUUGUUUGCCAGCACGUAAUGGUGGGAACUCCAGGGAGACUGCCGGUGAUAAACCGGAGGAAGGUGGGGACGACGUCAAGUCAUCAUGGCCCUUACGAGUAGGGCUACACACGUGCUACAAUGGCAGAUACAGAGGGCAGCGAAGCUGCGAAGUGGAGCGAAUCCCUUAAAGUUUGUCGUAGUCCGGAUUGGAGUCUGCAACUCGACUCCAUGAAGUCGGAAUCGC
rnacentral:rRNA from 1 species